GAAGUUGGAUUCGCUAGUAAUCGCGCAUCAGCCAUGGCGCGGUGAAUACGUUCCCGGGCCUUGUACACACCGCCCGUCAAGCCAUGGGAGCUGGGGGGUGCCUGAAGUCCGUGACCGCAAGGAUCGACCUAGGGCAAAACCGGUGACUGGGGCUAAGUCGUAACAAGGUAGC
rnacentral:rRNA from 1 species